UACAGAGGUCUCAAGCGUUGUUCGGAUUCAUUGGGCGUAAAGGGUGCGUAGGUGGCGCGGUAAGUCGGGUGUGAAAUUUCGGAGCUUAACUCCGAAACUGCAUUCGAUACUGCCGUGCUUGAGGACUGGAGAGGAGACUGGAAUUUACGGUGUAGCAGUGGAAUGCGUAGAGAUCGUAAGGAAGACCAGUGGCGAAGGCGGGUCUCUGGACAGUUCCUGACACUGAGGCACGAAGGCCAGGGGAGCAAACGGG
rnacentral:rRNA from 1 species